rnacentral:rRNA from 1 species
GUGGAUUAGAUACCCUGGUAGUCCACGCCGUAAACGUUGGGCGCUAGGUGUGGGUCCCAUUCCACGGGGUCCGUGCCGCAGCUAACGCAUUAAGCGCCCCGCCUGGGGAGUACGGCCGCAAGGCUAAAACUCAAAGGAAUUGACGGGGGCCCGCACAAGCGGCGGAGCAUGCGGAUUAAUUCGAUGCAACGCGAAGAACCUUACCAAGGCUUGACAUAUACCGGAAACGGCCAGAGAUGGUCGCCCCGCAAGGUCGGUAUACAGGUGGUGCACGGUCGUCGCCAGCU